GACGAACGCUGGCGGCGUGCUUAACACAUGCAAGUCGAACGGAAAGGCCCUGCUUUUGUGGGGUGCUCGAGUGGCGAACGGGUGAGUAACACGUGAGUAACCUGCCCUUGACUUUGGGAUAACUUCAGGAAACUGGGGCUAAUACCGGAUAGGAGCUCCUGCUGCAUGGUGGGGGUUGGAAAGUUUCGGCGGUUGGGGAUGGACUCGCGGCUUAUCAGCUUGUUGGUGGGGUAGUGGCUUACCAAGGCGUUGACGGGUAGCCGGCCUGAGAGGGUGACCGGCCACGUUGGGACUGAGAUACGGCCCAGACUCCUACGGGAGGCAGCAGUGGGGAAUAGUGCACAAUGGGCGGAAGCCUGAUGCAGCAACGCCGCGUGCGGGAUGACAGCCUUCGGGUUGUAAACCGCUUUCGCCUGUGACGAAGCGUGAGUGACGGUAAUGGGUAAAGAAGCACCGGCUAACUACGUG
rnacentral:rRNA from 1 species